CCUACGGGAGGCAGCAGUGGGGAAUAUUGGACAAUGGGCGCAAGCCUGAUCCAGCCAUGCCGCGUGAGUGACGAAGGCCUUAGGGUUGUAAAGCUCUUUUGGCGGGGACGAUAAUGACGGUACCCGCAGAAUAAGCUCCGGCUAACUUCGUGCCAGCAGCCGCGGUAAUACGAAGGGAGCUAGCGUUGUUCGGAAUCACUGGGCGUAAAGCGCACGUAGGCGGACUUGCCAGUCAGGGGUGAAAUCCCGGGGCUCAACCUCGGAACUGCCUCUGAUACAGCAAGUCUUGAGUCCGGAAGAGGUGGGUGGAAUUCCUAGUGUAGAGGUGAAAUUCGUAGAUAUUAGGAAGAACACCGGUGGCGAAGGCGGCCCACUGGUCCGGUACUGACGCUGAGGUGCGAAAGCGUGGGGAGCAAACAGGAUUAGAUACCCGAGUAGU
rnacentral:rRNA from 1 species